GCCCCCGUAGUGAAGUUGGCCUAUCACGUUGGACUCUGGUUCCAGAGACGCCGGUUCGAAUCCGGCCGGGGGCA
rnacentral:tRNA from 1 species